AGUGAACGCUGGCGGUAGGCCUAACACAUGCAAGUCGAACGGCAGCACAGUAAGAGCUUGCUCUUACGGGUGGCGAGUGGCGGACGGGUGAGGAAUACAUCGGAAUCUACUUUUUCGUGGGGGAUAACGUAGGGAAACUUACGCUAAUACCGCAUACGACCUACGGGUGAGAGCAGGGGAUCUUCGGACCUUGCGCGAUUGAAUGAGCCGAUGUCGGAUUAGCUAGUUGGCGGGGUAAAGGCCCACCAAGGCGACGAUCCGUAGCUGGUCUGAGAGGAUGAUCAGCCACACUGGAACUGAGACACGGUCCAGACUCCUACGGGAGGCAGCAGUGGGGAAUAUUGGGCAAUGGGCGCAAGCCUGAUCCAGCCAUACCGCGUGGGUGAAGAAGGCCUUCGGGUUGUAAAGCCCUUUUGUUGGGAAAGAAAAGCAGCAGGUUAAUACCCCGCUGUUCUGACGGUACCCAAAGAAUAAGCACCGGCUAACUUCGUG
rnacentral:rRNA from 1 species